rnacentral:rRNA from 1 species
AUGCCCUCUUGUCCUCCUCCUCAUCCUUCGGUUUGCCACGUCCACGACAACCACAAGGAGAGCAGACAAGCUGCUCCAAGACUCCCAUCGCCUCCCUACAAGCUCCCUCUCAUCGGCCACCUCCACCUCGUGGGCUCACUGCCCCACAUUUCCCUCCGCAGUCUCGCCGAGAAGCAUGGCCCCGAUGCCAUGCUUCUACGCCUUGGCGCCGUCCCCAGCCUUGUUGUGUCGUCCGCUCGUGCAGCCAUGGCAGUUCUUCGCACGCACGACCAUGCGUUUGCGUCCCGGGUACAGUCCGCCAUGACUGGCAUCCUCUUCUAUGGAUCAACUGAUAUGGCCUUCUCCCCAUACGGGGAUCACUGGCGCCAGAUAAGAAAGAUCGUUGCAACACAUCUUCUCAGUUUCAAGAAAGUUGGCUCCUACCGUCUUGCCCGGGAAAAAGAGGUACAACACGCUAUGGCGAGGAUCCGCGAGGCAGCCGCCAGGAGCGCUGCAGUGGAUCUUAGUAAGCUGCUUAGCUCGUUCACCACUGAUAUUGUUAGCCAUGCUGUGUCGGGGAAGUCCUUCAGAGGUGGCGGUCGAAACGAGUUAUUCCGCGAGCUGGUAGAGACUAGCUCCAUGCUAAUAGGUGGGUUCAACCUGGAGGAUUACUUCCCCAAGUUGGCAAGGCUGGACGUGGAAUUCAAUUUGAACCCUAAUGCUAAGAGUUUCACUCCCUUGACUUCUCUGAGGCCACAUCACCCUCCAGCGCUUGAUGCAACAUACUAUUAUCCUAAUAACAUGGGGGCUACUGGACAUGGUUUGCCUGUUGGCAUGGGGUUUCCACAGGCGUAUGGUGGACAGCCUGUUGUUUACAAUGCUCAGCCUGGAUCUUCUCCCCAGGGUUACAUGCAUCCUUCUGGGCAACAGGAGAUGCAGCAGCAGCAAUACAGAGGAAGGAACUUCUAG